AGCGAACGCUGGCGGCAGGCCUAACACAUUCAAGUCGAACGAACUCUUCGGAGUUAGUGGCGGACGGGUGAGUAACACGUGGGAACGUGCCUUUUGGUUCGGAAUAACUCAGGGAAACUUGUGCUAAUACCGAAUGUGCCCUUCGGGGGAAAGAUUUAUCGCCAUUAGAGCGGCCCGCGUCUGAUUAGCUAGUUGGUGAGGUAACGGCUCACCAAGGCGACGAUCAGUAGCUGGUCUGAGAGGAUGACCAGCCACACUGGGACUGAGACACGGCCCAGACUCCUACGGGAGGCAGCAGUGGGGAAUCUUGCGCAAUGGGCGAAAGCCUGACGCAGCCAUGCCGCGUGAAUGAUGAAGGUCUUAGGAUUGUAAAAUUCUUUCACCGGGGACGAUAAUGACGGUACCCGGAGAAGAAGCCCCGGCUAACUUCGUG
rnacentral:rRNA from 1 species